rnacentral:rRNA from 1 species
UACGAGGGGGGCAAGCGUUGUUCGGAAUUACUGGGCGUAAAGCGUGCGCAGGCGGUUUUGUAAGCCAGAUGUGAAAGCCCCGGGCUUAACCUGGGAAUGGCAUUUGGGACUGCAAGGCUUGAGUGCGGCAGAGGAGACUGGAAUUCCUGGUGUAGCAGUGAAAUGCGUAGAUAUCAGGAGGAAUACCGAUGGCGAAGGCAGGUCUCUGGGCUGACACUGACGCUCAUGCACGAAAGCGUGGGGAGCAAACAGG